rnacentral:rRNA from 1 species
GAUGAACGCUGGCGGCGUGCCUAAUACAUGCAAGUCGAACGGGAAGGCACUUUCGAGUGCCUGAGAGUGGCGUCCGGGUGAGUACCACGUAGCUGACCUACCUCAUGCAGGGGGAUAACCCCGCGAAAGCGGGGCUAAGACCGCGUAAGCUCUGGGGGACUAGAAGUCUCAGAGGAAAACCCCUUCGGGGGUGGCAAGAGAGGGGGCUGCGUUCCAUCAGCUGGUUGGUGGGGUAAAGGCCUACCAAGGCGACGACGGAUCGGGGACCUGAGAGGGUGAUCCCCCACACUGGAACUGACACACGGUCCAGACUCCUACGGGAGGCAGCAGUAAGGAAUAUUGGUCAAUGGGCGCAAGCCUGAACCAGCAACGCCGCGUGCGGGAUGAAGGGUUUCGGCCUGUAAACCGCUUUUCUGACGGACGAUGAUGACGGUACGUCAGGAAGAAGUCUCGGCUAACUACGUGCCAGCAGCCGCGGUAAAACGUAGGAGGCAAGCGUUAUCCGGAUUUACUGGGCGUAAAGCGCGUGCAGGCGGUUGGGUAAGUCAUGUGUGAAAGCUCCUCGCUCAACGGGGAGAGGACAGGUGAGACUGCCUAACUAGAGGGUGGUAGAGGCAAGUGGAAUUCCGGGUGGAGUGGUGAAAUGCGUAGAGAUCCGGAGGAACCCCUGUGGCGAAGGCGACUUGCUAGGCCAUCACUGACGCUCAGACGCGAAAGCAUGGGGAGCGAACGGGAUUAGAAACCCCGGUAGUCCAUGCCGUAAACGAUGUUCACUAGGCGUUUCGGGGCAGUCGCUCUGGGGUGCCGCAGCCAACGCGGGAAGUGAACCGCCUGGGGAGUACGACCGCAAGGUUAAAACUCAAAGGAAUUGACGGGGGCCCGCACAAGCAGCGGAGCGUGUGGUUUAAUUCGAGGCUACGCGAAGAACCUUACCUAGGUUUGACAUGGCGGUGGUAGGCGAUGGAAACAUGGCUGACCUUCGGGAGCCGUCACAGGUGCUGCAUGGCUGUCGUCAGCUCGUGUCGUGAGAUGUUCGGUUAAGUCCGGUAACGAGCGCAACCCUCGGGGUCAGUUACAAGUGUCUGGCCCGACUGCCCGGUGGAACUGGGAGGAAGGUGGGGAUGACGUCAAGUCAGCAUGGCCUUUAUAUCUAGGGCGACACACACGCUACAAUGGCUGGUACAAUCGGUAGCGAAGGGGCGACCCGGAGCCAAUCCAGCAAAACCAGUCUCAGUUCGGAUUGCAGGCUGCAACUCGCCUGCAUGAAGUUGGAGUUGCUAGUAAACGCGGAUCAGCCACGCCGCGUUGAAUACGUUCCCGGGCCUUGUACACACCGCC